GUACAAUCAUUUUCACUAGUGCAAUGAGUGUUGCUUUUUUCCGCUAGGUAGAUUCUCAUUAAAGUGACGGGAGGAAAAGACUUAGUGGAACUGCUUAUAAGAAGUUAGCUAAACAAAAAGCUGACAAAAUUAAUUCAAAAUAAAAAGCAAAUUCCCAAAAUAUUCAGUUUUUUUUUUGAAAAACAUGGUGAUUGUAACACUAUUACAACAACCGAACUGAAUCUUGUAGACCAACAACUAAUGACAUAAUCGAAUGAUACUGAACCGGGUUCCUCAAGAGUUUCCUCUCUAGUUACAGCUGAAGAUGAACCGGAAUGCUCUACCAAACUCGAGAAUGAGGAAGAGGAAAAUGCGUCAGCUGAGUUUCUUCUUCUCUUCCGCCUAUUCCCCCUUCUCACCACCUACUCGCAAGUCCGCCCCCCUAUUACAUGGUAUUGGACGGGGCGGCAAAUCAGGUCUGGCUCGUAGGUGGCAAAUUCGUAAAUCCGCCACUGCUUAGGAGGUUUUGAAAUACUCAUCAUAUGAUGAAUACUUAGCAGUCUUGUUAAGCAUCUAUUAUUUUUAGGAAGUUUGUAUGGUUUUUCUCGUAAUUCAUUUCUUACUUUCAAUCAGUAUAAUGAACAAAUUUAAAUUUAAACAAAAUGAUAUUGAACACUCUUUAAAGGUCGAUCCACACAUAUCUCUAACGUGACGUACCUUCAGUGGAAAAAAAUAUCAGCUGACGAAAUUAUCAGUAAACUAAAGGGGGUUUCAAACAUGAACGGCAACGCGACAACUUGGGGUCCUUCAUAUUGUAAAGAACUAGUUCUCGAACCAAUUCGAUGAGAAGCUCGUCGGUCGUAUUACAAAAACGAGGUGCAUACAGAAAAUAUUGAAAAGUGAAUUGAUCAAACUCUUUUUCACGGUACGGACAUGUAUGAAUCGACCUUAAUUCUUGAUUUAAUCGAUAACGUAAACUUUAGUAAAUAAUGUUUGUAAGUACUCACAUUCCCAGUUCCUAAUCCAAUAAUUGGUAUUUCUAUGCCAUUGAAACAUUCAACUGUUCGAACUUUCGCCAUUUUGAAAACAAUAAAUGAAAUACACUCAACGGUCUCGUUGAAAAUGAAUCGAUAAUUACUUUGUUAGUUUGAAAAAAAAAUCCGAUAGUCACUUUAAGUUCAUUUACAGUAAUAAUGUUAUCAUAGGCGUAGCGUGCCUUGGCGAGGCCCCGUAUACAUAUUUGUUUGGGGGCUCCUAGGAAGGAUAAAGAUUUCUUACUAAAGAAAAACAAAUAGCAUGAAAUUAAAAGGAAUAUUUAUUCAUCAUAAUUAUCUAUUUGUCACUUUUUUCAAAAACUGUACAAACAACGGAAUCCUAAAAACAAAAUUCACCGUUCGUUACAGGUAAAUAGGAUAAAAGGGUUGGGUAGUACUUACUUUUGCAAUCUAAAUCACUCACGGGAGCUGAAAAUAUGAAGAAAUUCUUUUUGUUGCUCCGCUAGGAUAAUCUCUUUUCCUUUCACUAUUUUUUUUUUACAAAUCGCUACUAAUUGUUUGUAUUGUAUUACAAUGUAAUGCACAAAUAAAAAAAAACGCGUUAAUAAACACUGCUCCGUGAUUUAUCUUGUAUCGUAUGUAUAUCAAUUAUUGAGGGAUUCCCCCGUUGACUUAAACGGGGAAAUCCCGCGAUAACCAAUGUUGCCAAAUUUUUUACUUUUUACUUUUUUUGACUUUUGUCAGUUGUGAAAUAAAAAAAUGUGGAAAGUUUUUUAUUAGUUUUUGCUUACGCACGUUGGGGGCCCCGUAUAAUUGAUACGGCGGUAGCUACGCCCCUGAAUGUUAUCAUUUAGUUGUAUCAUUUUUUAACAAAUAUUUCAAACUCAUUAAGCAUAAUUAAUAAUAUAAUAGAUAGCGCCUAAAACAAUUUUUGAAGAAAUAAAUUACAAAAACCAAAAUUAGCAAAUGCGGCAAUACUGCAAUCUUUUUUUUUGAUAUGGCACAUCCGAUGUGAUAUUUCUGUAACUUUAUUUUGAUAUGUUCUUGAAUCGUUAGAGGAAUUUUUAUUUAGGUUCGCGUUUGAUUGGAACUAAUUAUCAUAUCGUUCUAUUUUCAAAUUUAUCUUCAAUCUUAAUUAUAUAAUCUGUCAAAAAUCACUAGUGGUAAUAACUUUACGAGUGGGUUAAAUUUAGAACCGAUUCGGAAUCAGUUUAGUAUGCUCGCGAUUCAUAAUUAGGCCUUCUACACACGGAGAAUUAUAAUCGAUGUUAUUCAAUGGAAAAUAACAGAUGACGCUACUAGUUACUAACCGUUACUAACUAGUAGCGCCAUCUGUUAUGUUCCGUUGAAUAAGAUUGGUAGUGACUCAACAGGGAGAGAAAUAAUUAUUUUAGUUUGAGCUUCAGGCUUGUUAUACGAUUCGAAUUCUGUCUUUUCAGCUUUACUUGGCGUUUCAGAUGAAAACUCAAACUUCUUCCUGGUACCUUCAACGAUUCUGACCGCAUCGUACAACUCCAGCACGUCCAUUUUACGUCGGUAAUUCUCCUGCACCUUGAUACCUUUGACGCAAUUCAUUGUAGCACUAGACGAACUCGAACUUUGCAAACAUUUUUUUCAAAAUCUUAAGGUAAAAUUAGAGGCCUAUCAAGUGUAGGAAUCAAUCUUAUUUAUAAGAUAAAGUAAAAUGGCAGCCAAGUCAAAAAGUUUGUUACUUUCUAGACUGACCUCGUAUAUACAACCAUGAAAAAACGUAUGAUGUAUGGCUGGGGAAAGAACAUUAUUUCUAACUAAUAAAAUUGUAUAUUGAUAAUUCUAUAAAUACAAUUAACUUAAAAA